rnacentral:lncRNA from 1 species
GGCGUCCACUGCUUCUUACCUAAGAUGAGCUCGAUGCGCCUCUGAGUGGCCCUGGACCUCACCCCCAGCACCAGGUGUCCUGGGGGCACAGCUGGGGCCUGCUGUCCCAGGGCCCCGUCCAGCUGGGGAGGCUGUGUCCACGCCGGCCGCCUUGGCUGGGUCGUUCCCGCCCUCCUGGGAAGCUGCCCCGCGCACUCCCACGACUUGUCCAUUCACCCCAAAGUCGCCCGCGACAGUGCACACUCUGCUUUGUGCCCUCGGGGAUGGUGCCUGCAGGACAGGCUCCCAGACUCCAGGACCUCAGGCAAAGGCCGACUCCUCAGGGGUUGGUGGCACAGCCCGCUGCCCUCCAGGGGCCUGGGGCACACAGGGCCUGUGGCUCCCGAGAGAGCAAGUCCCAGGGCGGCAGGGGACGUCCUGCUGCUUGGAAAAAAAGAAAAAAACUAAACUGCACAAGAGGUGGCCCCAAGCUCGGCUGAACUAGAGUCGGGGCUCAGGGGGGCGCUGGGAGCCUGACUCUGUGAAGCGGUGCCGCUCUUCACGGACAGAUUCCUAUAUGUCUAUAUGCAUUCCAUGAUUCUAGGGAAGCAAAUCCUUUUUUUUUUUUUUGUACCAGGGAUUGACCCAGCUUAACCACCAAGCCACGUCCCCAGCCCUUCUCAUGUUUUAUUUAGAGACAGGGCCUCACUAAGUUGCUGAGGCUGACCUCGAACUUGUGUCCUCCCGCCUCAGCCUCCUGAGUCUCUGGGGUGGCAGGCGUGUGCCACCUCCCCUGACUGGAAAGUAAAUACAGUUUUAAAAGACUAGAAGUAAAUAAGCCCAGAGCUCGAGUGGCCGGUGCUCCGUGGAGAGGGUGGUGACCCCUACUUUUGACUGGGCUCUUCUCUGCAGCUAUAUUUAAAGAAUAUUGUAAAAGUGUCCCCUCUGCCACCCCAGGCC